rnacentral:tRNA from 1 species
GGUCAGAUGGCUGAAAUGGAUAGGCGGUGAGGUAGCACCUCACGAUACAGGUUCGAAUCCUGUUCUGACCC